rnacentral:rRNA from 1 species
UACGUAGGGGGCAAGCGUUGUCCGGAUUUAUUGGGCGUAAAGAGCGUGUAGGCGGCCAUGUAGGUCCGUUGUGAAAACUCGAGGCUCAACCUCGAGACGCCGAUGGAAACCAUGUGGCUAGAGUCCGGAAGAGGAGAAUGGAAUUCCCGGUGUAGCGGUGAAAUGCGCAGAUAUCGGGAAGAACACCCGUGGCGAAGGCGGUUCUCUGGGACGGUACUGACGCUGGAGACGCGAAAGCGUGGGGAGCGAACAGG